rnacentral:sRNA from 1 species
UGAAAGAAGAAAAAUUCACUUGAAUUCCCAUUGAGUUCCUAACUGUUGUGUUUUUCA